UUACGGCCAUAUCAUGUGGAAACGCCGGUUUUCGUACGAUCACCAAAGUUAAGCAACGUCGACACUGUUCAGUAUCUACAUGGAUGACCGCUUGGGAAUACCAGAUGCUGUAAU